UACACAUGCAAGUCGAACGAGAAAUCCGACACUCAGGCAACUGAGUGUUAGAGAGUAAAGUGGCGCACGGGUGAGUAACGCGUGGGUAACCUACCNNNUGAAUUUGGAAUAACCCCGCGAAAGCGGGACUAAUACCGGAUGUGGUUCCAUGGGCCUCGGCUUUUGGAAUUAAAGGUGACCUCUUCAUGAAAGUUGCCGUUCAGGGACGGGCCCGCGUACCAUUAGCUUGUUGGUAGGGUAAUGGCCUACCAAGGCGACGAUGGUUAACUGGUCUGAGAGGAUGAUCAGCCACACUGGAACUGGAACACGGUCCAGACUCCUACGGGAGGCAGCAGUGAGGAAUUUUGCGCAAUGGGGGAAACCCUGACGCAGCAACGCCGCGUGAGCGAANAAGGCCCUCGGGUCGUAAAGCUCUGUCAAGUGGGAAAAAAGCCUUUCGAUGAAUAGUCGGUAGGUUUGAUGGUACCACUGGAGGAAGCACCGGCUAACUCCGUGCCAGCAGCCGCGGUAAUACGGAGGGUGCAAGCGUUGUUCGGAAUUACUGGGCGUAAAGGGCGUGCAGGCGGUUUGGCAAGUCAGAUGUGAAAGCCCUGGGCUUAACCCGGGAAGUGCAUUUGAAACUGCCUUUCUUGAGUAUGGGAGAGGAGAGUGGAAUUCCCAGUGUAGAGGUGAAAUUCGUAGAUAUUGGGAGGAACACCCGUGGCGAAGGCGACUCUCUGGACCAAUACUGACGCUGAGACGCGAAAGCGUGGGGAGCAAACAGGAUUAGAUACCCUGGUAGUCCACGCUGUAAACGAUGAGAACUAGGUGUAGCGGGUAUUGACCCCUGCUGUGCCGAAGUUAACGCAUUAAGUUCUCCGCCUGGGGAGU
rnacentral:rRNA from 1 species